AACGAACGCUGGCGGCAGGCCUAACACAUGCAAGUCGAGCGGCAGCGCGUCCGACCACCCUCGGGUGGUCGGAUGGCGGCGAGCGGCGGACGGGUGAGGAAUGCAUCGGAAUCUGCCUCGUUGUGGGGGAUAACGUAGGGAAACUUACGCUAAUACCGCAUACGACCUACGGGUGAAAGUGGGGGACCUUCGGGCCUCACGCGAUGAGAUGAGCCGAUGCCGGAUUAGCUAGUUGGCGGGGUAAAGGCCCACCAAGGCGACGAUCCGUAGCUGGUCUGAGAGGAUGAUCAGCCACACUGGAACUGAGACACGGUCCAGACUCCUACGGGAGGCAGCAGUGGGGAAUAUUGGACAAUGGGGGCAACCCUGAUCCAGCCAUGCCGCGUGUGUGAAGAAGGCCUUCGGUUGUAAG
rnacentral:rRNA from 1 species